rnacentral:rRNA from 1 species
UCCUACAGCCAUACCACCCUGAAUGUGCCCAAUCUUGUCUGAUCUCUGAAGCUGAGCAGGGUCAGGUCUGGUUAGUACUGGAUGGGAGGCAGCUUGGGAAUACUGGGUAAUGCAGGCU